rnacentral:rRNA from 1 species
AUCGAACGCUGGCGGCAGGCCUAACACAUGCAAGUCGAACGAGUGGCGGACGGGUGAGUAAUGUCUGGGAAACUGCCCGAUGGAGGGGGAUAACUACUGGAAACGGUAGCUAAUACCGCAUACCCUCGUAUGUGCCCAGAUGGGAUUGGCUAGUGGGGGGGUAAACGGCUCACCUAGGGGACGACCCCUAGCUGGUCUGAGAGGAUGACCGCCCAAACUGGAACUGAGACAGGGUCCGGACUCCUACGGGAGGCAGCAGUGGGGAAUAUUGCACAAUGGGCGCAAGCCGAAUGCAGCCAUGCCGCGUGUAUGAAGAAGGCCUUCGGGUUGUAAAGUACGUUCAGCGAGGAGGCGUUACUCGCAGAAAAAGCACCGGCUAACUCCGUGCCAGCAGCCGCGGUAAUAC